UCUUAAGAGCAUUUGGUGGAUGCCUCGGUGUCGAGAGGCGAAGAAGGACGUGGCACUCUGCGAUAAGCCGCGGGGAGAUGAGAGCAAUCUUUGAUCCGCGGAUUUCCGAAUGGGGAAACCCGGCCCUUUAGGGUCAUCGUACGGUGAAUCCAUAGCCGUGCGAGGCGAACCCGGGGAACUGAAACAUCUCAGUACCCGGAGGAAAGGACAUCAACCGAGACUCCGCUAGUAGUGGCGAGCGAACGCGGACCAGGCCAGUGGCCAGAGAGUAAGAACCGGAAGCGUCUGGAAAGGCGCGCCUUAGUGGGUGAUAGCCCCGUACGGGUAGAAAGCUCUUUGGUCCUCGAGUAGGGCGGGACACGUGAAAUCCUGCCUGAACGUGGGGGGACCACCCUCCAAGCCUAAGUACUCCUGUGCGACCGAUAGUGAACCAGUACCGUGAGGGAAAGGUGAAAAGCACCCCGACGAGGGGAGUGAAACAGUUCCUGAAACUGGAUGCCUACAAACAGUUGGAGCCCAAGGUUCGUCCUGGGUGACAGCGUACCUUUUGUAUAAUGGGUCAGCGAGUUAAUUUUGCGAGCAAGCUUAAGCCGUUAGGUGUAGGCGUAGCGAAAGCGAGUCUUAAUAGGGCGACUAAGUUUGUUGGAUUAGACCCGAAACCGAGUGAUCUAGGUAUGAGCAGGUUGAAGGUGCAGUAACAUGCACUGGAGGACCGAACCCACGCCUGUUGAAAAAGGCGGGGAUGACUUGUGCCUAGGGGUGAAAGGCCAAUCAAACUCGGAAAUAGCUGGUUCUCCGCGAAAUCUAUUUAGGUAGAGCGUUAGAUGAAUACCAUCGGGGGUAGAGCACUGGAUGGGCUAGGGGGUCUCACCGACUUACCAAACCUAACCAAACUCCGAAUACCGAUGAGUAAUAUCUGGCAGACACACUACGGGUGCUAAGGUCCGUAGUGGAAAGGGAAACAGCCCUGACCGCCAGCUAAGGUCCCUAAGUUAUGGCUAAGUGGGAAAGGAUGUGAGAGUGCAUAGACAACCAGGAUGUUGGCUUAGAAGCAGCCAUCAUUUAAAG
rnacentral:rRNA from 1 species